UCCUCAGCUCAUUUGCUAGAGCAUAGGACUCUUAAUCUCAAGGUUGUGGGUUCGAGCCCCAUGCUGAGCGAAA